AUUUUGGUGGCCGAAUAGAGGCGAUAGACUGUAAAUUUAUUUAUGAAUACAUAUUCCCUUGCAAUA
rnacentral:tRNA from 1 species